rnacentral:rRNA from 1 species
GAUGAACGCUGGCGGCGUGCCUAACACAUGCAAGUCGAGCGAUUCUCUUCGGAGAAGAGCGGCGGACGGGCGAGUAACGCGUGGGUAACCUGCCCUGUACACACGGAUAACAUACCGAAAGGUAUGCUAAUACGAGAUAAUAUGCUUUUAUCGCAUGGUAGAAGUAUCAAAGCUCCGGCGGUACAGGAUGGACCCGCGUCUGAUUAGCUAGUUGGUAAGGUAACGGCUUACCAAGGCGACGAUCAGUAGCCGACCUGAGAGGGUGAUCGGCCAGAUUGGAACUGAGACACGGUCCAAACUGCUACGGGAGGCAACAGUGGGGAAUAUUGCACAAUGGGCGAAAGCCUGAUGCAGCAACGCCGCGUGAGCGAUGAAGGCCUUCGGGUCGUAAAGCUCUGUCCUCAAGGAAGAUAAUGACGGUACUUGAGGAGGAAGCCCCGGCUAACUACGUGCCAGCCGCCGCAGUAA